CACGUAGUUAGCCGUGACUUUCUGGUUGAAUACCGUCACUGCGUGAACAGUUACUCUCACGCACGUUCUUCUUCAACAACAGAGCUUUACGAGCCGAAGCCCUUCUUCACUCACGCGGUGUUGCUCCAUCAGGCUUGCGCCCAUUGUGGAAGAUUCCCUACUGCUGCCUCCCGUAGGAGUAUGGACCGUGUCUCAGUUCCAUUGUGGCCGAUCAGUCUCUCAACUCGGCUACGCAUCAUAGCCUUGGUAGGCCGUUACCCCACCAACAAGCUAAUGCGCCGCAGGCCCAUCCAGAAGUGAUAGCCGAAACCAUCUUUCAGCCUCAAACCAUGCGGUUUGAGGAUUUAUGCGGUAUUAGCACUUGUUUCCAAAUGUUGUCCCCCGCUUCUGGGCAGGUUGCCUACGUGUUACUCACCCGUCCGCCACUCGUUGGUAAUCCAACGUCAAUCAGGUGCAAGCACCGUCAAUCAGUUGGGCCAACGCGUUCGACUUG
rnacentral:rRNA from 1 species